rnacentral:rRNA from 1 species
GACAGAGGGGGCAAGCGUUGCUCGGAAUUACUGGGCGUAAAGGGCGCGUAGGCGGGAUGGCAAGUCGGUCGUGAAAUCCCUCGGCUCAACCGAGGAACGUCGAUCGAUACUGCUGUUCUUGAGGAUUGCAGAGGAGACUGGAAUUCCCGGUGUAGCGGUGAAAUGUGUAGAGAUCGGGAGGAACACCAGUGGCGAAGGCGGCUACCUGGACCAGCACUGACACUGAGGCACGAAAGCGUGGGGAGCAGACAGG